GAUGAAGAACGUAGUGAAAUGCGAUAAGUAAUGUGAAUUGCAAAUUCAGUGAAUCAUCGAGUCUUUGAACGCACAUUGCGCCCCCUGGUAUUCCGGGGGGCAUGCCUGUCCGAGCGUCAUUGCUGCCCUCAAGCACGGCUUGUGUGUUGGGCCCCGUCCUCCGAUCCCGGGGGACGGGCCCGAAAGGCAGCGGCGGCACCGCGUCCGGUCCUCGAGCGUAUGGGGCUUUGUCACCCGCUCUGUAGGCCCGGCCGGCGCUUGCCGAUCAACCCAAAUUUUUAUCCAGGUUGACCUCGGAUCAGGUAGGGAUACCCGCUGAACUUAAGCAUAUCAAUAAGCGGAGGA
rnacentral:misc_RNA from 1 species